rnacentral:rRNA from 1 species
UAUGUAGGGUGCGAGCGUUAAUCGGAAUUACUGGGCGUAAAGCGUGCGCAGGCGGAUUGUUAAGCAAGAUGUGAAAUCCCCGGGCUUAACCUGGGAAUGGCAUUUUGAACUGGCAAUCUAGAGUGUGUCAGAGGGGGGUAGAAUUCCACGUGUAGCGGUGAAAUGCGUAGAUAUGUGGAGGAAUACCGAUGGCGAAGGCAGCCUCCUGGGCCAACACUGACGCUCAUGCACGAAAGCGUGGGGAGCAAACAGG